ACAAGCAGUGGAGUAUGUGGUUUAAUUCGAAGCAACGCGAAGAACCUUUACCAGGGCUUGACAUCCCUUGAAGCAGCUAGAGAUAGCUGUGUCCUUCGGGACAAGGAGACAGGUGGUGCAUGGUUGUCGUCAGCUCGUGUCGUGAGAUGUUGGGUUAAGUCCCGCAACGAGCGCAACCCCUGUGGUUAGUUGCCAGCAAGUAGCGUUGGGCACUCUAGCCAGACUGCCGGUGAUAAAUCGGAGGAAGGUGGGGACGACGUCAAAUCAUCAUGCCCUUUAUGUCCUGGGCUACACACGUACUACAAUGGCCGUUACAACGGGAAGCGAAGGAGCAAUCCGGAGCAAAUCCCUUAAAGGCGGUCCCAGUUCAGAUUGUGGGCUGAAACUCGCCCACAUGAAGGCGGAAUUGCUAGUAAUUGCAGAUCAGCAUGCUGCAGUGAAUACGUUCCCGGGCCUU
rnacentral:rRNA from 1 species